rnacentral:rRNA from 1 species
AUGAGCGCCAACACAUCACGCGAAGGCGACGGCGGCCUUAUGUUAGGGAUACUGUCUCCCAUUUUGGAUGGCUUCCACAGAGCCACAUACGCAUCCUUGGCCAGGUCUAGGACCACAUUCCCCGACGGCCGCCGCGUCGCCGUCGAGGUCAGUCAAGCAGAGUACUACUAUUCUCAAGGUACCACCAGCAUGUACGUUUCCAUCGAGCCGGAGCUGAACACGACGUCCAUGGCGAUCUACACCGUCUGGGUCGAUUACAACGCCGCCGCUCACAACCUAUCGGUGUAUGUGGUCGAGGGCGGCAAGCCCAAACCUGAGGAACCCACGCUUCACAUGCCCCAAGGCGCUUCGGGUUACUUCGGUUUAUUCGCCUCAAAGAGCAGAUUCUUGCCCACUUGUCAGGCGGUGGUCUAUAGCUGGAACAUCACCAUGGAGAAGCUCCCGCCGGAACCCAUCAUACUCCCGGAACCACCCAUGCUCCCUGAACCCAACCAUGGUCGUGAACUGCGAAGAGAAUUCUUGGCCAUACUGCUGACGGUGGUGCUUCCUAUAGCCGUUAUCAUGGCCAUCGUUUUCGUGGCGGCCUGCUACUUCUCGUCGAGGUACAAGGCUCUCAGGACGAGGCUCAAGCUCUCAGAGGUGCUGAGACAGCUCCCGGGUGCCCAGGGAGUUCAAGCACGCCACCAUCAGGAAGGCGACCCACAACUUCCAUGA